GCGUAGGGCCGCCAUGUUGCAGCAGGAUAGUAAUGAUGACACUGAAGAUGUUUCCCUGUUUGAUGCAGAAGAGGAGACGACUAAUAGACCAAGAAAAUCCAAAAUCAGACAUCCAGUAGCAUCAUUUUUCCACUUAUUCUUUCGAGUCAGUGCAAUCGUCAUCUACCUUCUCUGUGAGUUGCUCAGCAGCAGCUUUAUUACCUGUAUGGUGACAAUUAUCUCUUUAUUGUCAGUGUGACUUUUGGGCAGUGAAGAAUGUCACAGGUAGACUAAUGGUUGGCCUACGUUGGUGGCAAUCACAUUGAUGAAGAUGGAAAGAGCCUACUGGGUGUUUGAAUCGAGAAAGGAGUCCUCUCAAGAGAAUAAAACUAUGUCAGAGGCUGACUCAAGAAUCUUUUGGUUGGGACUUAUUGCCUGUCCAGUGCUAUGGGUGAUAUUUGCCUUUAGUGCACUCUUCUCCUUCAGAGUAAAAUGGUUGGCGGUGGUUAUCAUGGGUGUGGUGCUACAAGGUGCCAAUCUGUAUGGUUACAUCAGGUGUAAGGUGGGCAGCAGAAAGAAUUUAACCAGCAUGGCUACUUCAUAUUUUGGAAAGCAGUUCUUACGACAAAACACUGGAGAUGAUCAGACUUCCUGAAUAGAGAAAACUUAAUGUGCUUUGUUACAUUGGGGAACAACUGAAGAGAUUCUUGACUCUGAACCUUUUAGAGCUUAGUCCAUGUUGCAACGAGGAGUGUUGGCUUUGUUUUUCCACUUAAAAACU